AUUGAACGCUGGCGGCAGGCUUAACACAUGCAAGUCGAGCGGAGAUGAGGUGCUUGCACCUUAUCUUAGCGGCGGACGGGUGAGUAAUGCUUAGGAAUCUGCCUAUUAGUGGGGGACAACAUUCCGAAAGGAAUGCUAAUACCGCAUACGUCCUACGGGAGAAAGCAGGGGAUCUUCGGACCUUGCGCUAAUAGAUGAGCCUAAGUCGGAUUAGCUAGUUGGUGGGGUAAAGGCCUACCAAGGCGACGAUCUGUAGCGGGUCUGAGAGGAUGAUCCGCCACACGGGGACUGAGACACGGCCCAGACUCCUACGGGAGGCAGCAGUGGGGAAUAUUGGACAAUGGGGGGAACCCUGAUCCAGCCAUGCCGCGUGUGUGAAGAAGACCUUAUGGUUGUAAAGCACUUUAAGCGAGGAGGAGGCUACUGAGACUAAUACUCUUGGAUAGUGGACGUUACUCGCAGAAUAAGCACCGGCUAACUCUGUGCCAGCCGCCGCAGUAAGAC
rnacentral:rRNA from 1 species